rnacentral:rRNA from 1 species
CUCUAACACAACACACUUUCCACCUCCCCGAUAAACACACACACCCACAGCCCACAACCAACACCAUGUAACAUCACCAAAAAACCACAAACAACAGCAACCAGACAAUAAUACAAGAAAAACCAUAGACACACGUCACGAUCUACACAACUUUCCGCAACCACUCAAGAUCGCCACCCCGAACAUAGCUAGUUGAUCAGGUAACGGUUACAAAGCAACAGCAGCAUACCCAAGUUGAGAGACACUCGGCCACAUUGGGAUUCAGACACGGCCCACAAUCUUCUGGUGGCAGCAGUAGGGAAUCUUCCACAAUGGACGCAAGUAAGAAGGACUAACGCCGCGUGAGCGACGAAGGGUUUCAGGCUCGUAAAGCUCUGUUGGUAGUGAAGAAAGAUAGAGGUAGUAACUGGCCUUUAUUUGACGGUAAUUACUUAGAAAGUCACGGCUAACUACGUGCCAGCAGCCGCGGUAAUACGUAGGUGGCAAGCGUUGUCCGGAUUUAUUGGGCGUAAAGCGAGUGCAGGCGGUUCAAUAAGUCUGAUGUGAAAGCCUUCGGCUCAACCGGAGAAUUGCAUCAGAAACUGUUGAACUUGAGUGCAGAAGAGGAGAGUGGAACUCCAUGUGUAGCGGUGGAAUGCGUAGAUAUAUGGAAGAACACCAGUGGCGAAGGCGGCUCUCUGGUCUGCAACUGACGCUGAGGCUCGAAAGCAUGGGUAGCGAACAGG